GUCCCUGUAGCUUAUAAAAAGCAUGACACUGAAGAUGUCAAGAUGGCUGCCAAACACACCCGGGGACA
rnacentral:tRNA from 1 species